AUCACUAAACUUGAGCUCACUUGUCACAAUGGCAAUAGAGUUGGAAUUUAAUUAUCUGCUGGAGAGAAGCCCUGACAGCUGUGGCGUAGGUUUUUCAAUGUAGAUGUUGCCUGGAUCGCAAGAAAAAUAUCAAGGGCUGGUGAGAACAGCCAUGUUCUAAAAGAAUCUCUGCCUGGGUUAGACCACUGCCUACCGAAGAGGAUUUAGGUUGGAAGCAGUGUUUGCUUACCACAUUACCCCUGGGUUUGCCUCUGGCUUGUGUUUCCUGGAGGAAAGGCGAUGGGUCUGCUGCUGGUUCCUAAAAUACUGCCAGUCUGUGAUGGCCUUCUGGUAGUGAAACCAGUUUCCUAGUAGCAGCAUCAGGGGCCGGCUGAUGGGUGGCAGGAGACAGAAGCGGCGGUUUGUUGCACAGCCUGCCAGAGAAUUCAUGACUUCCAUCCAAGCACCGGAGAAGCAACUGGCAGUGGGGGAAAGACCUUAUGGCAUGGAACAAUAUUUGGAAAACAUUUUUUUUUUAAACCCCAGGGAAGAGAAGACUAAACAUCCGGGUUUUCCAGUAAUAAGCUCUGCUAAACGAUGAGCCUCGGCUCUCCUGACACCAGCAUGCUGCAUGGAAUAGCCUUUCCUUGCUGAAACCAAGGCCAGGGAUUCAGACACCAAAGCAGGAAUCAGAGGCAGCUAGCCCUCGGUGCUGUUAGUAGAGUAGUACUGUCUCCCUAGUUGCUUAAAACGCAGAGAGGAAAACGCAUAUCUGCUCUGUAACUAGUGGAGUUAAAGAAGAAACGAUGCAGCAGAAUUGCCCAAGCACAGAUACAGCACGCACCAGGAAUUAGGGAGGGAUUCCUGCACCCGUGGGAGGCUUUGCUUCCAACCCCCCUCAAUCAGAGCAUGAUUUUGGGGCAGCCUGGCCCCACAACUGAAGGGAAGAGGCUCUCCCUAAACAUGACGAGAGAUACAAGUAUGAGCAAUUGCUCCCCAAGCGGAGAUGAUCAUCUGUCUGGUGUUCAGUUUUACUAAAGGCUGCCUGUCUCUCCUGUGAGAAGCAGCUCCUUUCCUUCCUCCCUCCCUCCUGCACAGGCACCGCUGUGUUUGCUGCUUCCUGAGAGCCUCUUAUGCCGUGAUUGUCAGUGCUGGAGUGCACUUAAC